rnacentral:rRNA from 1 species
UUCUGGCUCAGGAUGAACGCUGGCGGCGUGCUUAACACAUGCAAGUCGAACGAAGCAACUUAUUACGAUCCCUUCGGGGUGACGAUUGUGACUGAGUGGCGGACGGGUGAGUAACGCGUGGGUAACCUGCCUUGUACAGGGGGACAACAGUUGGAAACGACUGCUAAUACCGCAUAAGCGCACAGCUUCGCAUGAAGCAGUGUGAAAAGUUUUUCGGUACAAGAUGGACCCGCGUCUGAUUAGCUAGUUGGUGAGGUAACGGCCCACCAAGGCGACGAUCAGUAGCCGACCUGAGAGGGUGACCGGCCACAUUGGGACUGAGACACGGCCCAAACUCCUACGGGAGGCAGCAGUGGGGAAUAUUGCACAAUGGGCGAAAGCCUGAUGCAGCGAACCGCCGCGUGAGCGAAGAAGUAUUUCGGUAUGUAAAGCUCUAUCAGCAGGGAAGAUAAUGACGGUACCUGACUAAGAAGCACCGGCUAAAUACGUGCCAGCAGCUGC